UACGGGGGGUGCGAGCGUUGUCCGGAAUCACUGGGCGUAAAGCGCGCGUAGGCGGCCCUGCAAGUCGGGGGUGAAAGCCCGAGGCUCAACCUCGGAACUGCCUUCGAUACUGCGGGUCUCGAGUCCGGGAGAGGUGAGUGGAAUUCCUAGUGUAGAGGUGAAAUUCGUAGAUAUUAGGAAGAACACCAGUGGCGAAGGCGGCUCACUGGCCCGGUACUGACGCUGAGGCGCGAAAGCGUGGGGAGCAAACAGG
rnacentral:rRNA from 1 species